rnacentral:misc_RNA from 1 species
ACACCCCUCAAGCGUAGCUUGGUGUUGGGCCUCGCCCCCCGGGCGGGCCCGAAAAGCAGUGGCGGUCCGGAGCGACUUUGAGCGUAGUAAAUUACCAUCCCGCUUUGAAAGUCCGCCUCGCGGCCGGCCAAAAACCCCAUGUGUUUCCAUA